rnacentral:rRNA from 1 species
UACGAAGGGGGCUAGCGUUGAUCGGAAUCACUGGGCGUAAAGCGCACGUAGGCGGAUUGUUAAGUCAGGGGUGAAAUCCUGGAGCUCAACUCCAGAACUGCCUUUGAUACUGGCGAUCUCGAGUCCGGGAGAGGUGAGUGGAACUGCGAGUGUAGAGGUGAAAUUCGUAGAUAUUCGCAAGAACACCAGUGGCGAAGGCGGCUCACUGGCCCGGUACUGACGCUGAGGUGCGAAAGCGUGGGGAGCAAACAGG